rnacentral:rRNA from 1 species
ACUCCUACGGAAGGCAGCAGUGGGGAAUAUUGCACAAUGGGCGCAAGCCUGAUGCAGCGACGCCGCGUGGGGGAUGACGGCCUUCGGGUUGUAAACCUCUUUCAGCAGGGACGAAGGGUGACUGACGGUACCUGUAGAAGAAGCACCGGCCAACUACGUGCCAGCAGCCGCGGUAAU